CUAUGUUGUAGCUCUUUUAGAAUUUGUCUAGCAGGUUUUCUGGUUUUUACUGGAAAAUGCCAUC
ensembl:snRNA U7 U7 small nuclear RNA